rnacentral:lncRNA from 1 species
GUGGAAGCCCCCUUGGCCCAUUGGUUGACCAAGGGUUGAUUAAUGCUUCUACACUAAAAGGUCUGGGGUUCGAGUCCCAGAUAUUGCGAUUUAUUAACAAAUUUGCAGAUUAAUUGAGGCAAGUGUGCAGGAGGUCUCCAGCGAUGUACAAUUAUAGCCGUGCGCCAGGAUUCUACGCAGAGAAGGAAGUGUCGCUAGGUCGUGGAUCAUUGAAGGUAUUCAUCAAGAUCAUGAAGAAGGAAGUGUAGUCUGUCGUGGAUCUACUAAGGGUCGGCAGAAAUUGUCAGUUGUAGAAUCGUCUAUGUAAC